GAUGAACGCUGGCGGCGUGCCUAAUACAUGCAAGUCGAGCGAACAGACGAGGAGCUUGCUCCUCUGACGUUAGCGGCGGACGGGUGAGUAACACGUGGAUAACCUACCUAUAAGACUGGGAUAACUUCGGGAAACCGGAGCUAAUACCGGAUAAUAUAUUGAACCGCAUGGUUCAAUAGUGAAAGACGGUUUUGCUGUCACUUAUAGAUGGAUCCGCGCCGCAUUAGCUAGUUGGUAAGGUAACGGCUUACCAAGGCAACGAUGCGUAGCCGACCUGAGAGGGUGAUGGGCCACACUGGAACUGGAACCCGGCCCAGACCCCUACGGGGGGCAGCAGGGGGGAAUUUUCCGAAAUGGGCGAAAGCCUGACGGAGCAACGCCGGGUGAGGGAUGAAGGUCUUCGGAUCGUAAAACUCUGUUAUUAGGGAAAAAAAAAUGUGUAAGUAACUAUGCACGUCUUGACGGUACCAAAUCAGAAAGCCACGGCUAACUACGU
rnacentral:rRNA from 1 species